rnacentral:lncRNA from 1 species
CGUGACUAAUGUUUGCAAAUAUGGAUGAUGAUUUCCGCAUUAGGUAGUUAAAUGCCAUAUAAUUUUUCCAAACACGCCUCCAAACAAACUAUACCCAAAAUCAAAAGAAGUUGUGAUUCAUAUUCUCCCAAAUCGCCUCACCCACUUCAACAUUUCAAAUCUCCUCACCCAUUUCAAGAUCUCGAAGCUAACAUUGAUGAAGCACAAUGCAUCCGAAACAGAAAAUCAAGCUUUCAUCAUCACCCGUCCCAACCCACAAGUCUUGUGGUUUUCAAGAUUCGCCCAUGGAAUCUCCACAUCCAGGUAAAUUCUCAUUUUCUUCUUGGAGUUUAUGCAUUAUUUGACGUGCAUAUAUGUUUUUUGUAUGAGUUCUACUCACUGUUAUGAGUUUGAUGCAUAUAUUAAUUAUUUUGGAGUUAGGGAUUGUAUUCUUUGAGAUCAUUCUGACGAAAAUUACCUUUCUAGUGAGAAACAUGCCUGUAUGGAAACUUAAUGAGCUAACCUAGAAUCCUAAGAAAGUUUAGGCCGAUUUAUUAGGUGAUUAUUGAUAAUAGAUGCUGUAAGGUGCUGAUAACGACUGAUUUCACUGUCAACAAAUUGAAAACUAGAUUCAAUUGAUGAUAUAAAGGUUAUGGUAGUAUAUUGUUGGAAUAAAGGAUAAAUCUGGCACUGUAAUUCUUGUUAAGAGUUUGCAUAUUUUGAUUACUAUGGUGUUUCCAGUAGAUGCGGAUGAUGACCUGGACUUCAAUGAUUAUGAUAAUCGUCUGGUGAAUACGAUUUGCUAUUCGAGAAAAAUGUAACAGGUGACCUAUCAAAAAAAGAAAAAUGUAACAGGUGGAAUUAAGUUAGGUUUUGAUGAGGGGCCACUGAACGUGAAGAAGAGGAUUAUGUGGUAGUGGUGCAGGACGAAGAUGAUGAGGCCGAUGAUUUGGAAUAUCCAUCAUCUAAAGAACUGGUUCGAAGAACCUUUGGAGCCAAUAGAGAGGGGAAGGCCACUUGACAUGGACAACAAGAGAAAUGGAGUAAGUGAUUUCAUUCCACUCAUUUUAUUGCAUUUGUGUAAUUCGUAUCUCAAAUAACUUAUAUUCCUUUCAACUAUCAAGGAAAGCUUAUGCUAGAUAGAAGUAAUGGUGUUUUAUCUAAUUAAUCACAUGAAUAACAACAAACUUUUCUUUUUGAAUAAUGCUACUUGCAGUCGUCCUAUGUGGCAUACGUAUAGCGAUUAAUGAUUUGAUGCAAGACAAUAAAAAAAACUAGCACAUUAAUGUUUCAAAUCAAUAAUUGUCACAUGUAUGCCACGCAAGGCAACUAUGGUAGUGAGCGACUGCAAAUAGUAUUACUCAUUCUUUUUAUGACCAUUCUUGGUGUCAAGAUACAAUCUGAAACUUGAUUAUGAAAUUGACAAGAAAUGUGAUGUGUAAACGUAACUAAAUAUGGUAUAGAGGCUGGUUUUGGUUUAUGGUUGGUGCAUCAACAUGCAGCCUCUCUUUUUUGUUUUUGAUGGUGUGUGUAUAUAUAUAUAUAACCAGAGGUUUAUUUCAUGGUUGCUUAUAAGUAUUGCUCAUGAAAACGUGUUACUGCUACGUUCUUUUCCGUUGGAAGUUAUGCCUUUAACAGAUGUUGAUAAUGCU